UACACGCGAUUGAUUUUUAUC
ensembl:piRNA 21ur-2796 ncRNA